UCUCCAGAGGCAACUUACCCCCUUGCAGGGUUGCUCGAUCGCUCUCUCACUCCCCGUCGAUCGAGUUGUCCGUGGCCAAAAGUUUCGCCCACAGAUCCCACCGGAUCCGAUCGUCUGUCACCGUAUUCCAGAUCCGGAGCCCUGGUUGUCGCCUUAAUAGUUCAAGACCGGAGCUCCUCUCGCCGGGGCUCCGAUGGAGGAGGCACUGGAGAUGGCGCGGGCCAAGGACACUAAGGAGCGGAUGGCUGGGGUGGAGCGGCUCCACCAGGUGCUGGAGAGCACCACCAGGAGCCUCUCCGUUUCCGAAGUAACCACCCUCGUCGAUGCCUGCAUGGAUCUCCUCAAGGACACCAACUUCCGGGUCUCCCAGGGCGCGCUCCACGCGCUGUCCGCCGCCGCAGUGCUCUCCGGCGAACACCUUAAGCUCCACUUCAACGGGAUCGUACCGGCCGUCGUCGAGAGGCUCGGUGACGGGAAGCAGCCCGUGCGGGACGCCGCGCGGCAGUUUCUGGUCACUCUCAUGGAGGUUUCCUCCCCAACAAUCAUUGUUGAAAGAGCUGGUAGUUACGCAUGGACACACAGGAGUUGGAGAGUGCGAGAAGAGUUUGCACGAACUGUUACUACAGCUAUUGGACUUUUUGCUUCAACUGAGCUCCCUCUUCAGCGAGUCCUUCUUCCUCCUGUUUUGCAGUUGUUGACUGACUCCAACCAAAGUGUUAGAGAUGCUGCUACUUCAUGCAUAGAGGAGAUGUAUACACAGGUUGGACCUCAGUUUCGUGAGGAAUUGCACCGUCACCAUCUUCCUUCUUCCAUGAUGAAAGAGAUUAAUAUCAGGUUAGAAAAAAUAGAACCGAAGAUCCAGCCGUCGGAUAGAAUUGGAAGUCCUCACAUUUCAGCUGAAACUAGAUCAUCUUCUGCAAGCCAUAAGAAGAGCAGCCCAAAGAACAAGAUAGCUCCCAAAGAAACUUCAUUUUCUAGUGGUGAAAUUGAUGCUACUGAAAAGCUUGUGGCACCUAUUAAAGUGUACUCUGAAAAGGAGCUGAACAAGGAAAUGGAAAGAAUUGCAUCUACACUAGUGCCAGACAAAGAUUGGUCACUUCGCAUUGCUGCUAUGCAGAGAGUUGAAGGCCUUGUCUUUGGAGGCGCUGCUGAUUAUCCAUCUUUUCUUACACUCCUAAAGCAACUAGCAACUCCUCUAAGCACUCAGCUAUUGGAUCGACGUUCUAGCAUUGUGAAACAGGCCUGCCAUCUUCUGAGCUUAUUAUCCAAGGAACUAUUGGGGGACUUUGAAACUUGUGCUGAGAUGUUCAUUCCGGUACUUUUAAAGCUUGUUGUAAUAACUGUCCUUGUGAUCGCUGAGUCUGCAGAUACCUGCAUAAAAACAAUCCUGCGUAAUUGUAAAGUUGCCCGUAUACUCCCUCGGAUAGCUGAUACUGCAAAGAAUGACAAGAGUGCAGUUCUUCGUGCUAGGUGUUGUGAUUAUGCACUUCUAGUACUGGAGUACUGGGCUGAUGCUCUGGAAAUACACCGUUCAGCAGACCUCUAUGAAGAUCUAAUCAAAUGUUGUGUUGCAGAUGCAAUGAGUGAGGUUCGUUCAACUGCCCGAACUUGCUAUCGGAUGUUUACCAAAACAUGGCCAGAGCGUUCCCAGCGACUUUUUUUGUCAUUUGAACCAGCAAUACAAAGGAUAAUAAAUGAAGAGGAUGGAGGAUUACAUAAAAGAUAUGCUUCUCCUUCCCUUCGUGAAAGGGGAGUGCAGUUAACUCAUGCCCCAUCACGAACCACUAUUACAAGUGUAACUGGAUAUGGUACCUCUUCUAUUGUUGCAAUGGACAAGAGUGCAACUGUUUCUACAGGGACAUCUCUUUCCUCAGCUAGCUUCCUAUCACAAUCAAAGACACUUGGGAAAAAUACAGAAAGAACCCUUGAGACUGUGCUUCAUUCAAGCAAACAGAAGGUGUCAGCUAUUGAAAGUUUAUUGAAAGGUGUGAGUUUAUUGGGGAAGCAAAACUUCUCUAGUGCACGCUCAACCAGUUUGGAUCUAGGAGUUGAUGCUCCAUCUACCUGUGAUCCAUCAGUUUCUGCUAGUUUUCCUUCUUCAAAUCUUUUCUCUAUACAGAGUUCAUCAUUGGUUGGUUCAACAAUUGAAAACAUUACGAAAGGCAGUAAUAGAAAUGGUGGUUCAAACAAGUCCGAGCUACUGACUUCCCAGGUCCAAUUGACUAGAGACCCUUCAAAAUUCUCUUACCUCAGUGAUAUAACAUCUGAUACCCUAUCCUCUUUGUCAUUAUCUCAUGUGAAAAGAUCUGACCAGUUGCAAGAAGGAAGUGGUAGAGAAGAUAAUGUUGAUCUCAGGUUAAGUAGGCCAAUUUCAAAUAUGCAAAUUGAUAAACAGUAUAUGGAGAUCCCGUACAAAGAUUCUCUCUAUAGGGACUCACCAUGUAGUUACAUUCCUAACUUUCAGCGCCCUCUUCUAAGGAAGCAGGUGACAGGAAGGACUAUUACAAAUAGAAACAGUUUUGAUGAUGGCCAAAUCCCAUCAAGUGUAACAUCUAGCUGCAUGGAUGGUCCAGCAUCGCUAAAUGAUGCACUUACAGAGGGACUAAGUGCUAGCUCAGAUUGGGUAGCUAGGGUUUCUGCCUUUAAUUAUCUCCGAAAUUUGUUGCAGCAAGGCCCAAGAGGUAUUUUAGAAAUUACACAGAAUUUUGAGAAGGUUAUGAAAUUAUUCUUUCGGUACUUGGAUGAUCCUCACCAUAAAGUUGCACAGGCAACUUUUUCAACCCUUGCAGAGAUCAUUCCAGCAUGCAGAAGGCCUUUUGAGAGUUACCUAGAAAGGACCUUACCACAUGUCUUUUCAAGAUUAAUUGACCCAAAGGAACUGGUUAGGCAACCAUGUUCAACAACAUUGGAGAUAGUUGGUAAGGUGUACAAUGUUGAUUCUCUUCUUCCAGCAUUUAUUCGUUCUUUGGAUGAGCAGAGGUCUCCAAAAGCAAAGUUAGCUGUUCUUCAGUUUGCGAAUAAUUCCUUCAGUAAACAUACAAUAAACUCCGAUAAUUAUAGUAAUAAUGGCUUUCUUAAGCUAUGGCUUGGUAAGUUAGCACCUUUGGUAAAUGAAAAAAAUGUGAGGCUUAAGGAAGCAUCAAUCGCUGUCAUCAUAUCAGUUUACUCCCAUUUUGAUUCAACAUCAGUCUUGAAUUUUAUUCUGAGUCUUUCCAUUGAAGAACAAAACUCAUUGAGACGGGCACUUAAGCAGUACACACCCCGUAUAGAAGUUGAUCUUAUGAACUUCUUGCAGAAUAAGAAAGAACGCCAACGUUCAAAAUCCUUUUAUGAUCAAUCAGAUGGUGUUGGAACUUCUUCCGAGGAAGGUUAUUUUUGUGGAUCAAAGAAAGGCCCUCAUCUCAGUCGUUAUUCAGUUGAUGGUGAUAGUGGGAGGAAGCAGAGUUUGAAUCAGGAAACUAUCAAUGUUGAUGCCUCUAUUUGUUAUAUGGCUUCUGAUGAAAUUAGUUAUUCCUCCAAGAACCUUGAUGGUUACACUUCUGACCCUUCAUUGCAAGGUACUGGGUCAGGUACUAAGUGCUUAAAGAAAACAAAUUAUAUAUUUGAGCAUGAGAGUUCUGUGUCAACACCACGUCUAGAUAUCAGUAGACUGGUCAGUUCCAAUGAACAUAAAGCUAUUGACUUGAAUCAUGGUGGUGGAAAUAGUAAAGAUUCUGAGCUCAAUCAUGAGACGCUUAGUUCUGCAACAGUGAACUGCCAUGUAGAUCUUGGGCCUAGCAUUCCCCAACUUCUUCAUCAGAUUUGCAAUGCAAGUGAUGUUAACUCAAGUUCAGACAAAAGGGUGGCACUGCAGCAGUUGGUUGAAGUUUCGCUAAAUAAUGAUAGCUCUAUCUGGACAAAGUAUUUCAAUCAGAUCUUGACUGCUGUGCUUGAUGUGUUAGAUGAUUCUGAUCCUUCAAUACGGGAGGUUGCUCUUUCUCUGAUUUUUAGAAUGCUUAAUAAUCAGAAAAACGAGAUGAAAGAUUCUGUUGAAAUUGUUAUUGAAAAACUGAUUCAUGUCACUAAAGAUGUGUUCGUGAAGGUCUCAAAUGAAGCUAACCAAUGCUUGAAUAUUGUCUUAUCUGAAUUCGAUCCACUUAGAUUCCUUAAUGUCAUUGGACCUUUAUUGAUCAGCGAUGAUGAAAAGACCCUGGUUAUUUGCAUCAACUGUUUAACCAAGGUUGUUGGCCGACUUCCACAUGAAGAUUUGAUGAAACAUUUGCCAUCAUUUUUGCCUGCCUUGUUUGAUGCAUUUGGAAACCAAAGUACAGAUGUGAGGAAGACUGUUGUUUUCUGUUUGGUGGAAAUUUACAUCCUACUUGGCAAGUCAUUUUUACCAUAUUUGGAGGGCCUUAGUAGCACACAGUUACGCCUCGUGACAAUCUAUGCCAACCGAAUUUCCCAAGCAAGAUCUGGAGCUCCAGUUGAUGCUAACAAUUGAGUAUGUGUUGUUUUGUCUUGUUUGUUCUGGGUGUUUGUAUAGUGUAAUGACAUUCCCAAUCAUUGGGGUUAGUAAGGUUUUUCUGAUUGAUUGGUUCUCAGGGUUUGGUGGGGAUGAGUGAGGGCUUAUUGUUGCCGUACAUAAGCAUGUACCUCAAGCUUCUAUGGAUCUUGUAAUACUGGGUGCUCGGUGAUCACAGAUCUGAUUGGUUAGUAAUGGUGAUGUCGUCCCCGAUGUGGAAUGUACAAGUUAGCCUAUUAAUAGCAUGACUGAACCAGUGUGGAUUGUUGAGAUGAAUGCUGUCAUUUUGGUGCUAAUGCAAAUAUAACUUACAUAAAGGAAGAACAUCAAACAGGUGAAUGCUGACAAUCUGUUGCUAGAGCAAUUGGAUAAGAAUGAUUUUGGUAUGAUCCCUGAAAGUUCCACAGCUGCCUAUUUUGGUAUGACUGUAAUGACAAAUCCUUUUCUUGUUUGUGAAACUUCUUAUGUUCUGCCAAUUUAUAAAAUUCAUGUUUUGUUUUGAGUAAAUGUGUUUCUCUAGGACCUGUGCACCCUCAGGUGCUAUGAGAAAUUGUGGCAUUUAUGUGUUAUUCCUCAUAUGAAGUUUAUCAGCAUCAAAACGUGUUUCAUUUUCAUCGGGUGAGGGAGUAUUGAUCAUUUUGAUGAGGAUCAAAGUGCAUUUGACACUCAUAACUUUGACCAGUAAUUCAUGGUGACUUAUUCUAGAAGACAAGGUUGAGUUCCAACAAUCAAACAAAGGGAGAAAUUUUGAUUGAUGAUCAUUUUAGCCUUGAUCUUAAACCAACACUUGGAAUGCUUUUCUGAGGUAUGCAUUUGCAGGUCAGAUGUUUUUAGCUUAGGAUUAUAUGAUAUGUGUCAUUUAGGAAAUACUUGCUGAAUGUCUCAACUAUCCAAGUGGUAUUUAAGAUGGAAAGGAAAACCACAAGAAGAUCUGUAUGUAAAUUGCAGAGGGUCCCAACUCCAGUGGACUGAGAUUUUCUGUAAUUGCAUAGAUCAUGGGGUUCAUAAAUUUUCAUAUCAGAAAUAUGAUUUGCCUUAUCACAAUGCUUAACUUUGGAAUCCGACGAGGCACGUGAGGGCCUUCGUAGUGGUUUUCCUUUCUCAAAUCUAGAUGUCUUGAUCCUCUUGUUACUAUCUUCAUAUUCAUUUUCUCUUCUGCUUUUGCUAGUAAAUUUGUUCUUUUUAUUUUUGCCCAUGAUUUCUCGAAUCUUCUCCAAGUCUUUUUCGAUUUUCAAAGCUCUUUCUACUGUAUCAACAUAUGUUUGUAGUUUUAAGGCUGACAUUCGACUUCUUGUUGCUGGUCGUAAUCCCCUUUCAAACCUUUUUGUUUUUCUAGAUUCAUCAUCAGUCAUAUGUGUGGCAAACCUAGAGAGCUCAGUGAAUGGCAUUCGUUGUUGUAAUUGCAUAGAUUAUGAGGUUCAUAAAUUUUCAUAAAUUUGCCUUAUCAUAAAUUUUCAUAUCAUAAAUUUUUAGCAUUACAUGAUGUUUACAUUCCCCGUAGUAUCCGACGAGGCACGUGAGGGCCUCCGUUGUAGCUUCGUUCCCCGGGAAAAGGUCUGUCGUCCACGUGGAGCGAUAUUGGAGUGUGGAUCUAAAAGCUUGCCAGGAUGAGUAUGAGUGGUGUCGAUAUGGGCCCGAAGAAUAAGUCUGCCUUUAAAGUAAGAGGAUUUAGUCGGCCCAAAAUAUAUAUGAUUUGAUCCAGUCGAUGGACGGUCAGGAUUAAUGUUGUGAAAUGGAUGAACGGUUGCCUAUAACUGUUGGUAAAACUUUUAUAGACGGGUCGAUGACAAUCAGCAUGGUUCGAGCCGUUCAUCAACGGCAUGAUCCACCUCCCAGCUGCUGCGGAACGAAGCGCGCCUCCCCUUCGCCACCCUCACCGCCGUCGUCACCGCUCUCCGCCGCCACCUCCGCCUCGCCGGUGACCUUGGUUCUCUUCCCCUCGCCCGCCAGUCUCACGCCGCCGCCAGCACCCUCGGCCUUCGCUGCCACCCCCUCGUCUCCUCUGCCCUCAUUUCUGCAUACUCCCUUCUCCGCCUCCCUUCCCUUUCACUCCUCGUCGUCUUCCGCCACCAUCAGCAGCCAGACCUUUUCCUCUACAAUUCUCUCCUUGCUGCCUUCUCCCGCAACGGCCUCUUCGCCGAGACCAUUUCUUUCUUCCGCCAGUUGAGUCUCCGGCUCUCGCCCGACCAAUUUUCCCUCUCAAUCGCCGCCGAGCUCGCUGAAUUGAGAACCGGGCGGGGUUCCACUCCCUCGCCAUUGGGCUCGGUUUUGACGCUGACAUGAUACUCUCAAAUUCGCUGAUGUUAAUGUAUUUCAGACGUAAGUGCGCAACUGAUGCUUAUUGCCUAUUUGAUAAAAUGCCUGCAAGAAGUGUGGCUUCUUGGAAUGCUUUGAUUCUGGAGUUGGCUGAAAUGGUGGAUGUCAUAGACGUGGCAGGAAUGUGGGAACUUGUGAGGCAGAUGCAAUCAGAAGCCAUGAAACCAGAUUCAUUCACGAUAUCUACUAUCCUUACUUUGUGCAGUUUUGAUGAUUGGAGCCAGAAGCGUGGGACAGAGAUACAUUGCUUUGUUUUGAGAAAUAACUUGGGUAUGGAUUAUGAUUUCCAUGUAAGGAGUUGUUUAAUAGAUAUGUAUUCAAGGGUGAGGCGAGUGGAUUUGGGAAGGUGAGUUUUUGAUGGUAUAACUUCAAAAAAUGUGGUGGUCUGUACAGCUAUGGUUGCUGGGUAUGUUGAGAAUGGAGAGGAUGUGGAAUCUCUUAAGCUUUUCCAAGAGAUGACUCAGAGAGAUCGUACAAUGCCAAACAAGAUCACUUUGGUAACUAUCCUACCGGCAGUUGGAUCGCUUGCAAGCUUGGUCGAAGGAAAGCAAAUUCAUGGUUUUGCCAAGUUAAAUAGUGAGACUUCUUUGAACAAUGCUUUAAUCGAUAUGUACUCCAAAUGCGGAACCAUGCAUCGUGCAAGAUGCAUCUUUGAUGAUGAGUCCUGGAAGAAAGAUAUCAUCUCUUGGAGCUCAAUGAUAUCAUGUUAUGGAAUCCAUGGCAAGGGAGAUCAAGCUAUUACUUUUUUUAGAAAAUUGAGUAGUGUUAAUUUCAAACUUAAUUAUAUAACGAGUUUGGCUAUUUUAUCGGCUUGUGCUAGGGGUGGCCUAGCAAUGGAAGGUCUUGAGAUCUGUAAUUCUUUGGUCAAGAAUCAUGCAGUUAUGCCUA